CGUGAGCUGGGUUUAGACCGU
rnacentral:ncRNA from 2 species